GAUCAGGCCCCAUACGGCUAAGACAGCCCAACUCCGUCAGAUCCGGAAGGAAGCAGCGGCAAGCAUGUUCUUAGGGUGUAUGGUAAGCCUGGUCUUC
rnacentral:SRP_RNA from 1 species